GCCGAGCAAAAGUUCCCUGCCGGAGGGAACUGCCUGCUCGUAACUUCGCUCUCGGAGCGAUCGUCUCACCAGUGACUCGCUUGCUAUUCUGUAGACACAGGUAUUCGCAACACAUAUAGGACUACAACCAUAGCACAGACACGAUUUUCGCGAUGGAUUUAAUUAUACAAGAAAUUCGUUUACUUUAGACGCGUAGAAUAAUGCGUGCGGCGUGUUACAACAGAAAGCACGUCUCGAGUCAGUCUGACGAAUACGCGUUACACUCGUCGGGUGAAACGGUUUCUCCCCUCCCUUAUUUUUGGCUCUUUUUGUCUUUUGUCGUUGAACCGAUUUGCAGAGUUAUUAGACCAAUUUAUAAACUAAUCAAUAAAACGACAGAAAACGUGGAAAACUUGAAAAAAAAUAUUUAAACUCGAUGCUUUACGAGUGAAAAGUUUUUAAAUUCUCGAAAAUUAGACAAAUGAUAACAAUGUGUCUAUUGGAGGAACGGUCUGUUUGGUUAUUCCGUUGGCAAAUGAUGAUCUAACCGUAAAUUCAGGUAGGUAGAGAGACAUUCGGCUACGACGGCAUUCCGGAGGUGUGUGUGUGUGUGAAUAAGUGCGGUGGAGCGCACCUGACGCAUCGCGGAAUUCAACUUCUAAGAACAAUCAGCUGUACCUGACAUGGCAGCAAGUGUGAGAUAGACUGAGAGUGCGACUCAUACUCGGUGUUGAAAAUGAUUACGAAUGAAACUUACUCAGAGUGACGUUGAAGGGAAUGAGACGAGAUAAGGUGAUGGUGGUGCUGCUGUUGCUGCUGCAAGGCGGAACUCUGAUCCCUCUGAGAUCGUCUGAGGGCCAAGCUGGAAGUUUCGCUUAUGCUGCCUACGCUGGAUUCGGCGUCCCGUUCUCUCGAGGAGUGGCCACCAUGGGCAAAUAUCAAGCCGGUUCCCAAGGUCCCUGAGCAGACUCUUUGAGUGGGAAUCCCGCUGGUACGCAGGCAGCAAGGCAACUUGGUGAGCCGGGAUCACGGAUGUUUGUGUUUCAUCUGUUCAGAAGUAAAAGGAAGACUGAGAGGAGGCCGGAGUUCCGCCUCUGCAGAGGCUACUCUUUGAAAAUCAUACAUCACGCAGACCAUUGAGAAGCGAGCGGCUGAGGAACGCUUUCAGGAUCCUCUUUCAAACCCUGAUUCACGGGGCGAUAAUUAAAUCCAUAUAUACACACUGCGUGCUGCGAGUUUGUCUACUACCACAUUCCAUUUUAUACGUUUAUAAGUACAGCAUGUUUUGAGCUUACGGGUUUGGGUCCUGGAGCAAGGUUGCCAGUGUCAGCGCGUUCACCCAUUGGUUCAUGCUCUCCCUCGAGUCUGCGGCGAAGAGGUAU